rnacentral:rRNA from 1 species
AUUGAACGCUGGCGGCAGGCCUAACACAUGCAAGUCGAGCGGAUAAAGGAAGCUUUUUCCUGGUUUCCGCGUGGGACGCGGGCGUGUGUCCUAUGAAUGGGCCGCGUCUUGGUGGAGGACGUCAGCUAACGGGAGCUGUUACUACAUCCGACCAGAGGCAGAAAAACGGGGAUCUUCGGACCUCACGCUCUUAGCUGCGCCUAGGUCGGAUUAGCUAGUUGGUGGGGUAAGGGCCUACCAAGGCGACGAUCCGUAGCUGGUCUGAGAGGAUGAUCAGUCACACUGGAACUGAGACACGGUCCAGACUCCUACGGGAGGCAGCAGUGGGGAAUAUUGGACAAUGGGCGAAAGCCUGAUACAGCCAUGCCGCGUGUGUGAAGAAGGCCUUCGGAUUGUAAAGUACUUUAAGUGGGGAGGAAGGGCAUUAAGUUAAUACCUUGCCUUAUUGACGUUACCAGCAGAAGAAGCACCGGCUAACUACGUG